CCUAACACAUGCAAGUCGAGCGAGAAAGCCCUUCGGGGUGAGUAGAGCGGCGGACGGGUGAGUAACGCGUAGGAAUCUACCCAGUAGUGGGGGACAACUAGUGGAAACGCUAGCUAAUACCGCAUACGCCCUACGGGGGAAAGCGGGGGAUCUUCGGACCUCGUGCUAUUGGAUGAGCCUGCGUAAGAUUAGCUUGUUGGUGAGGUAAUGGCUCACCAAGGCGACGAUCUUUAGCUGGUCUGAGAGGAUGAUCAGCCACACCGGGACUGAGACACGGCCCGGACUCCUACGGGAGGCAGCAGUCGGGAAUAUUGCGCAAUGGGGGAAACCCUGACGCAGCCAUGCCGCGUGUGUGAAGAAGGCCCUAGGGUUGUAAAGCACUUUCAAUUGGGAGGAAAAGCUAAUGGUUAAUAACCAUUAGCCCUGACGUUACCUUUAGAAGAAGCACCGGCUAACUCCGUGCCAGCAGCCGCGGUAAUACGGAGGGUGCAAGCGUUAAUCGGAAUUACUGGGCGUAAAGCGCGCGUAGGCGGUUUUUUAAGUCGGAUGUGAAAGCCCCGGGCUCAACCUGGGAACUGCAUCCGAUACUGGAUCACUAGAAUGCGGGAGAGGGAGGUAGAAUUCCAUGUGUAGCAGUGAAAUGCGUAGAUAUAUGGAGGAAUACCAGUGGCGAAGGCGG
rnacentral:rRNA from 1 species